rnacentral:tRNA from 1 species
CCUCCCGUAGCUCAAAGGUAGAGCAUCCGAUUGUGGUUCGGAAGAUCCGGGUUCGAGUCUCGGCGGGUUGA